UGGAACUGAAGUCCUUACCAGCUAUGUGAAG
rnacentral:piRNA from 1 species